rnacentral:rRNA from 1 species
GUCCUGGCCGUAAACGCUGCGAGCAAGGUGUGGCUUGUCCCAUGAGGACCGGCCGUGUCGAAAUGAAGAUGAUAAGCUCGCCGCCUGGGAAGUACGGUCGCAAGACUGAAACUUUAAGGAAUUGGCGGGGGAGCACUACAAGGGGUGCGGCGUGCGGUUUAAUUUAACUCAACGCAGAGAACCUCACUAGAAGCGACGGCAGGAUGAAGGACAGGCUGAAGACCUUUCCCGACGAGCCGAGAGGUAGUGCAUGGCCGCCGU